GGAUGGCGCAACCAGUAAAGGUCCAUAAGGACUGCAACUACUUGGAAUGGAGUAACAUACAAAAACACAGCCCAGAUCAAUGCAAGGAUUAUAAAUAUAGCAGUAGCCCUUGGAUCCCGCCAGCUUAGUAUGGUCUAUUUUGAGUGACUAUAUUUUUCCCUUUAGAUGUUCCUGCAGCUGUAAUUGAAGUUUCGUCAGUAAUUUGAGUUUUAAGGUGUUUCUCAUCGUCACCUUCUAGGUCUAAUUUUUUAAUGUGCUCUUCCUACACAAUAUCUUAUUUUUUAUAGUGCUCGACCUGCACUUUUACAUUUGUAACUUCAGUAGUUAGUGUAAUAACUUGCUCUUGUAUUAACUCCAUUUGUUUAAACAUUUGCAGCAAUAAAUUAGUCUGGGUAUCUUUGACAUCA